UUUUCAAACACUACAAAGAAUAUGGAUUAACACCGCGCAAGAAAAAGAGUGGCGGUAGAGAUAACUGCCGCCAUCUUUUGAAGCAUGAGGACAUAGUUAAGGUAGUCACAUUCAUCACUAAUUAUGCGGAGGAUCAGGCAGUGAUACUACCUGGACGUUACCCUGGCCAUAAGCGGUAUGAUGUAAAGUUGCUGCCAUCAAAUGUCACAAAGUCGAUGGUAUGGCGUUUAUACAAGGCUGCCAUGGAUUCGCUAGACUGCCGCGCAGUAAGACUAAGCACAUUCCGAAAGUUGUGGAAGGCACUGGUCCCUCAUAUUCUUCGUACGAAGCCAAUGGCAGACUUAUGCUGGGUAUGUCAGAAGAAUAAUUACCAGGUCUUCAGAAGCAACAAUCUCCCAGAGGUAGUCAAGUCUGCAAAACUGAAAAAACAAGAGGAACACCUUCUUCUUGUUGAGAAAGAAAGAAUAUACUACCAAGACAUGGUGAAGAAAUCAUAAGAAGUCUGUCAAGAAUUAGAUUUGAAGCUACAACCUUCACCCCCUGCCAGUAAAGAAAUAAAAAUGCACUACAGCUUCGACUAUGCACAACAGGUACACUUUCCGUCCGAUCCCUGGCAACCAGGACCAAUGUAUUUCUUGACGCCGAGGAAGUGUGGGUUGUUCGGAGUAUGUUGUGAGGGGAUACCCCAGCAGGUGAAUUAUCUUGUGGAUGAAAGUAUGGCUUCCAGCAAGGGAUCUAACAGUGUUAUAAACUACCUCCACCACUUUUUUGACAACUUUGGACUUGGUGAAAAAGAAGCAGGGCUACACUGUGAUAACUGCUCUGGACAGAACAAAAAUAGAUUUGUUCUCUGGUACAUGGCGUGGAGGACCAUGCACAAGCUCCAUAGUCAUAUAGGAUUGCAUUUCUUAAUUGUUGGUCACACAAAAUUCGCACCAGACUGGUGCUUCGGGCUAAUUAAGCAAAAGUACAGACGGACAAGAGUCUGCAAGUUGGACGAUAUCGCUGUUGUAGUUCGUGAAAGUACAGUAACUGGAGUUAAUAUUCCUCAGCUUGUUGGAUUAGAAGAUGGCACGGUUUAUGUGAAGGCUUAUGACUGGCAGAAUUUUUUUCAGCCCUACUUCCGUCCUUUGCAAGGUAUCAAAAACUACCAGCACUUCAGUUUUGAUUCCUCUACACCUGGACUGGUCAUCGCAAGAGAUUGUUCGGACUCUGAAAAUGUGACAAGGUUUCAGCUGCUGAAAGAUCCAGAGAUCCUGCCCCCAGUCAAUCUGCCACCAGUAAUUCAACCACCAGGCUUGGAUGAUAAACGACAAGCCUACCUUUAUGACCAAAUCUGUGACUUCUGUGACGAUGAAUCAAAGGACAUCUGUUGCCCGAAACCAUGUGCUGAGGCCAAGUUCGGAGCAGAACAGUAGAACGUUAAAUCCCGUCUGUCUGUCACACAUUUUGGGACACAAUAACUCUCUAUCUAAUUGAGCUAGAAUGUUCAAACUUGGUGUAGGUGUUUAUUAGGUCGAUGCCUUGAUGGAGUUCGAAGAUGAGCAUUUUCGGCUUAGGGUAAGCAGAGAUAAGCAAUUUGAUUGUUUGAUGCUUUGGGACACGAUAACUUUAGUCCUAAUUAAGUGGGAGUGAUGAAACUUGGUGUAUAGUUUCAUUACAUCAAUACCUUGACUAAGUUCGAUAAUGAGCAUUUUCUGCUCAGGGUAAGCAGAGAGAUAAG